rnacentral:rRNA from 1 species
CCUACGGGCGGCAGCAGUGGGGAAUAUUGCACAAUGGGCGGAACCCUGAUGCAGCGACGCCGCGUGGGUGAAGGAGUAUUUCGGUUUGUAAAGCCCUAUUAGCAGGGAAGAACAAUGACGGUACUUGACUAUGAAGCACCGGCUAUAUACGUGCCAGCAGCCGCGGCAAUAUGUAUGGUGCAAGCGUUAUCCGGAUUUACUUGGUGUAAAUGGAGCGCAGGCGGCGCGUUAAGCCUGGUGUGAAAGCCCGGGGCCCAACCGAGGGAGUGCAUUUGAAACUGGCACGCUAGAGUGCAGGAGGGGUAGGCGGAAUUCCUAGUGUAGCGGUGAAAUGCGUAGAUAUUAGGAGGAACACCAGUGGCGAAGGCGGCUUACUGGACGGUAACUGACGCUGAGGCUCGAAAGCGUGGGGAGCAAACAGGAUUAGAUACCCGAGUAGUC